rnacentral:rRNA from 1 species
UACGUAGGUCGCGAGCGUUAUCCGGAAUUAUUGGGCGUAAAGAGUGUGUAGACGGACUGUUAAGUAGAAUGUUAAAGGCCAGGGCCUAACCCUGGAGAUGUGUUCUAAACUGGCAGAAUAGAGCAAUGUAGAGGCAAGUAGAAUUCUGUGUGUAGGGGUAAUAUCCGUAGAUAUACAGAGGAAUACCAAAAGCGAAGGCAGCUUGCUGGGCAUUUGCUGACGCUCAAGAGCGAAAGCGUGGGGAGCAAACAGG